UUCAGUCAGAUGGACAGAGCUGUGGGAUAUUCAUGCUUAUGGCAAACUUAUACAAUUUCUAAUAAAUUUUUCCUGUUUGUCCUAAAUCUCCGUAAUCAUUAUUUUUCUCUUUAACAGUAUGACCUCUGCAUCUGUACUGGUGCCAUGUUUCACUUUUUGGAUACUGACAUACCAUCUAUUCGGAAGUGGUGGUGUCUCCAGAUUUUGGAGAAAUUCUCGAUCGCAAGGCAUGGGCAGAACUUCGGGCAGCACUUUGCCUUCUGGACAGAGGAGGCAGAACAGCUGAUGGCAGGGACCCUACCACC